GACGAACGCUGGCGGCGUGCUUAACACAUGCAAGUCGAACGGAAAGGCCCUGCUUUUGUGGGGUGCUCGAGUGGCGAACGGGUGAGUAACACGUGAGUAACCUGCCCUUGACUUUUGGAUAACUUCAGGAAACUGGGGCUAAUACCGGAUAGGAGCUCCUGCUGCAUGGUGGGGGUUGGAAAGUUUCGGCGGUUGGGGAUGUACUCUCGGCUUAUCAGCUUGUUGGUGGGGUAGUGGCUUACCAAGGCUUUGACGGGUAGCCGGACUGAGAGGGUGACCGGCCAAAUUGGGAAUUAGAUACGGCCCAGACACCUCAGGGAGGCAGAAGUGGGGAAUAUUGAACAAUGGGAGGAAGCCUGAUGCAGCAACGCCGAGUGCGGGAUGACGGCCUUCGGGUUGUAAACCGCUUUCGCCUGUGACGAAGCGUGAGUGACGGUAAUGGGUAGAGAAGCACCGGCUAACUACGUG
rnacentral:rRNA from 1 species